GGGAAGGUGGCUCAGUGGUAGAGUGCUUGCCUUGCAUGCAUGAGGCCCUGGGUUCAAUUCCUCAGCACGACCU
rnacentral:tRNA from 1 species